rnacentral:rRNA from 1 species
AACGAACGCUGGCGGCAUGCCUAACACAUGCAAGUCGAACGAGACCUUCGGGUCUAGUGGCGCACGGGUGCGUAACGCGUGGGAAUCUGCCCUUGGGUUCGGAAUAACAGUUGGAAACGACUGCUAAUACCGGAUGAUGACGUAAGUCCAAAGAUUUAUCGCCCAAGGAUGAGCCCGCGUAGGAUUAGCUAGUUGGUGAGGUAAAGGCUCACCAAGGCGACGAUCCUUAGCUGGUCUGAGAGGAUGAUCAGCCACACUGGGACUGAGACACGGCCCAGACUCCUACGGGAGGCAGCAGUGGGGAGUAUUGGACAAUGGGCGAAAGCCUGAUCCAGCAAUGCCGCGUGAGUGAUGAAGGCCUUAGGGUUGUAAAGCUCUUUUACCCGGGAUGAUAAUGACAGUACCGGGAGAAUAAGCUCCGGCUAACUCCGUG